AAUGAACGCUGGCGGCGCGCCUAAUACAUGCAAGUCGAGCGAGAAGACGUAGCAAUACGUUUGUAAAGCGGCGAACGGGUGAGGAAUACAUGGGUAACCUACCCUCGAGUGGGGAAUAACUAGCCGAAAGGUUAGCUAAUACCGCGUACGCUUCUUGGACUUCGGUUCAGGGAGGAAAGCGAUGCCGAGGGUAUCGCGCUCUUGGAUGGGCUCAUGUCCUAUCAGCUUGUUGGGAGGUAACGGCUCACCAAGGCUUCGACGGGUAGCUGGUCUGAGAGGACGAUCAGCCACACUGGCACUGCGACACGGGCCAGACUCCUACGGGAGGCAGCAGUAAGGAAUAUUGCGCAAUGGGCGAAAGCCUGACGCAGCGACGCCGCGGUGGGGGA
rnacentral:rRNA from 1 species